CACCAGGGCAGAGUAGAGGGGGAGGAUCACCUCCUUCGACCUGCUGGACACGCUUUUUUUAAUACACCCUUACUAUUAGAAGUGCUGCGUAUCCACAUAUGCUCCAUGCAUCCCCUGCUUACAUAGUUUAAUUAUUCUGCAAUAAUUUAAUUGCGCUGCUUCCUCUCGGCUUCCUGUAUCUGCUGGCUCCUGUCUGAAGAGUCAUUAUUAGUGUUGUGUCUGUCUGCAGAGGAUGCACCUGGAGGGCUGGUCUGGAGAUAUCUGUGCUGUGAAUGCGUGUAAUUGGGCACAACUGCCCGACUGGUGCAGUCUGGGUUUCCACAUGGUCCUGUGCUAAGGUUCAUGUGCUCCUUAGCUCUCUUAUUAGGGCUUUUUUUUUUUUCCUUUUAAUUACCUCAGCUAUAAGGGACACUAUUCUUGAAAUGUAUUGGAGAGUUUUUACGUGUAUAGCACACAUAUCUUGGCAACAUGUAGGUCUUAAUUCCUCAUUCAAAAGCAUGGUAAAGCCAAGAACCAGCCCCAUUUUGGAAGUCGCUGGGUUCUGGCCCAAGGCACAUUGCAGUGGCAGAGGCAGUACAGGUUUCCUGAUUAUCUGUUAUCUUCACAUAUUGCUGUUUCUGCUUCACCCAAACAGCUCUUGAGGAUCCAGUGCCUGGAGCGGUUUUAACCUGGGUCUUCAAACAGAACUUGAAUUGUGGCUCCACUAACAAUUCUCCGCUCUCGGUUUUUAGCCUUUACUUUGCUGAUGGAAUAACGUGAUCCUUGGGUGCAGCCUGCAGUCUUUAUGAGUGGCUUGAAGUGUAUCAUGUUGUAUAUUUGGAGAACGCAUAUCGAGUGACACCACAGCAGCAGAUGAUAAGUGCGCUGCAGUGACUAAUCCAACUUUGUGCACUGGAUUUUAGAACCUCUCCUGUAUCUUGGCACGUUUGUUUCAAGGAGCUGAUUAAAUUACUGCAACAAUGAACAGAAACGUUUGGUGUUUGUUUGGACAGUCUGGAAUUUCCUGCUAUCAACAGAGACUGGAUGUGGUUCAGUUCAGGAGCACUACUCAGACCAACACGUUUUCUUUGAUCAAACAGAUCCGUUUCCACAUUCCAUAUUUUUACUGCUUACAAAAAGCCAUGUGCACAGUGUGGCUGUAGCAAGUGAAGUGGGACUGUCCACUUUAGGUUUUCAAAGCUUAAUGAAUAUAAAAGGUACCUUACACUUUCAGAUCAAAACAUCCAUCUUACUGUUAUGGUCCCCUGCUAUUCUGGCUUGGGAUGAAACGUACCCUAAAGCUUCUAUCGUCAGUCUUGAGAACCUGCUACAAUAAGUCUAAGAUGAGAUAAGACAGAACGGAAUUAGUUUAAGUAAUAAAUGUUUAAUCAAAGAAUUUUACAUAUUAUUAACAGCAUUCAUUUGGCCAAACAUCUACAUGGUUGUAGUAUCCUACUUGUAUAUAAAGUGGGAAUGUAUCAAGUAUAGACUAUGAAAGUGCAAAUAACAAUUCAAGGUUAGAGUAAUUUUUUACAUUAUAAAAUUAACAGGUUUACAAAAUAGUCUUGCCAAACUUUAUUCUGAAUUGUAAAGUCAAUGACUAUGGUGUUAAAAUAAGUACCAAGAAAAUACAAAUUUAAUAGGCUAAUUUCAUGCUCGUAAGAGUAACACAGAAACAAUGAAUAUACUGCACAACCUAACCAAAUUACAAAAACCAGAACCCACAAACUCCACUAUCUUCACAGAGAGCACUCUUACGUAUCUUACUGUAGCUUUGCAAGACAUCCCAACGCAAUACACACAAUCUUUGUGAGAGUCUUCCUACCCAGAAAUUCAAGGAAGCGAUGUGAGCUAAACAACUUUCAGACCAAUUUGUGUUGAUAGUUCACAAAGAACUGCUUUAGUUGAAGGAUUUUGUAACGUAGAACGAUUUUAAAUAGGUAUUUUGCAAAGAUGUCCAAAAGUUAAUGAUUAUGUCAGGAAAGGGCAGCUAGAGGAAAAGCUGGUAAACAAGUUGAGACUACUCUAUUCCAUUCUCUCUAAAGAUGCUUGCAAAAUGAUCUAGGCUCUUAAGGGGUAAGGGUAAAAUAUUCUUACUUCCUUUUGUACUUAUACGAACCCUGUGACUGCAAGGUUCAAAAGCAGGAUUUGCAUGAAUUCAGAACACUCACUUGAACUCACAGUAAUCAAUACAUAAACUUUGCUAUCAUGACACUUGCCUAUACACACUCAGUAGUAAUAAACUUUUAUAUCAUAUCAAGAAAUUUCUGGUAACAGUUAAGCAAAACUUAAAAUGGAGUGUAUGUAAUUUGCUCGUGUUAUGAAAAGGUUUGAUUAUAUGUAAUUAAAACAGCCAUUUCAACAACUUACUCUAGUUGUAAUUACAUACUGUACCAUUGUAUCUCACUAACUGUAGAUUGAUGCUUUUAAGCAAAUCUAAAACCAGUAUUUUUCACGGUACAACGACUAGGAAGAGGGUUUUUUUUGUGUGUGUUUUUUUAACACUAAACAGUAAUCACACAGCAAAUGAAUAUUGUGCAAUUGGACAAAUACCUAGCAGUGUUUUGUUUAUGCAAAAACACUGAUUAAACAUUUAGUUAUUUACUGUAAAGGCAAGGCCAUGGGUGGUUGUAUGGAGGUCUUUGCAAUUAAUAGCAUAGUUACUCCAGAACAGACACUGAAACUGAAUUACUUGUUUAACUGUGGCAACUAUCCAGUUGGGUUUGGCAAAGGCACCGUAACAUGUUGAGCAGAAUCUGUUAUCUGAACUUUAACUGUGGGACUGGCUAAUAUAUGAAAAU